AUUGGAGCUAGGAGUAGUACAGUAGUAAACCCCCUUUUUUGUUAUAGUUUCACCUGUAGUGUCAGUGGUGUUGAUUCAUAGAGUUUUAGAUUAAUUUGAAAACAGUUUUCAGUUUGCUGAAUUGUCCUUGCAUUUCCCUUGGCCUCCUGUUCACCUACUUGGUUGAAACCAAAAGACUGAAUACAGCAAGAGUUAUUUUAAAGUGGACUUUUUAUUUUUUUUAUUUAUAAUCAAAAAUUCCUGGAUGUAUUUUUCAUUUUUGUUGUUGCUUUUUUUGGACAAGUUGUUUGUUUGAGAUCUUAGUUAUCGUGUUUUCAUGAAGAACAUUUAUUUUUUAAAUGGCGAUGUCAUUGGCUUUCCAGUGUUUUUUGGACUCUGACAACGGUGAUGCAAAUGUGUGAUUUCCAAAGCAGCAGAGCUGUAUCAUCUGUUCUGUGAAUACAUCCUGGACUGAUCUGCUUCAACCUCAGUGAAAGUUUCAACAAGUGAACCUCAAAUCACAGAUUACUGCAAUUAGAAUAUUGGUGAAGACACCACCUGUGUCAGGAGCAGCAGCAUGACAGGAAAAACUCUGUCAUAAAAGAUUUCCUGUUUACCACACUGGAGGGAUAUGUUGGUUGUCUUUGAACUGCAUGCCAUGGGAGGAUUGACCUGGAUCUUUACCCAGAACAUCCUUCACCAGCCUUUUGACAGUAGAAGUGAAAUCAGAGGAAACAAACCUGCUGGUGAAGAGAAACCGCAUCGUCUUUAAAGCAUUUCAACAUUGUGUUCCCAGAGGCAACUCAUUUGUUUGGGGAUGUAACGCUGUUUUCUUGACUUGACAAACUUCUUGUCAAGUCAAGAAGUAAAUAAACUCAACUCAGAUCUGAGUUGCAUGCAUUCAGCAACGUAACUUGUUGCAAAGUCCAGUGGCAACUCAUGCAGAUCAACCAU